rnacentral:rRNA from 1 species
GGAAUUUUCCGCAAUGGGCGAAAGCCUGACGGAGCAAUACCGCGUGAGGGAAGACUGCCUAUGGGUUGUAAACCUCUUUUUUCAGGGAGGAAUAAAUGACGUGUACCUGAAGAAUAAGCAUCGGCUAACUCCGUGCCAGCAGCCGCGGUAAGACGGAGGAUGCAAGUGUUAUCCGGAAUCACUGGGCGUAAAGCGUCUGUAGGUGGUUGUUUAAGUCAACUGUUAAAUCUUGUUGCUCAACUUCAAAAUCGCAGUCGAAACUAUUAGACUAGAGUAUAGUAGAGGUAAAGGGAAUUUCCAGUGGAGCGGUGAAAUGCGUAGAUAUUGGAAAGAACACCGAUGGCGAAAGCACUUUACUGGGCUAUUACUAACACUCAGAGACGAAAGCUAGGGUAGCAAAUGGGAUUAGAUACCCCAGUAGUC